UCCGGUGGCGAUACCGGAGGGGUUCACCCGUUCCCAUUCCGAACACGGAAGUUAAGCCCUCCAGGGCCGAUGAUACUCUGACCGCGAGGUCUUGGGAAAGUAGGUCGCUGCCGGAU
rnacentral:rRNA from 1 species